GACGAACGCUGGCGGCGUGCUUAACACAUGCAAGUCGUACGGUAAGGCCCUUUCGGGGGUACACGAGUGGCGAACGGGUGAGUAACACGUGAGUAACCUGCCCACAACUUUGGGAUAACGCUAGGAAACUGGUGCUAAUACUGGAUAUGUGCUCCUGCUGCAUGGUGGGGGUUGGAAGCUCCGGCGGUUGUGGAUGGACUCGCGGCCUAUCAGCUUGUUGGUGGGGUAGUGGCCUACCAAGGCGGCGACGGGUAGCCGGCCUGAGAGGGUGACCGGCCACAUUGGGACUGAGAUACGGCCCAGACUCCUACGGGAGGCAGCAGUGGGGAAUAUUGCACAAUGGGCGCAAGCCUGAUGCAGCAACGCCGCGUGCGGGAUGACGGCCUUCGGGUUGUAAACCGCUUUCAGCAGGGACGAAGCUUUUUGCGACGGUACCUGCAGAAGAAGCACCGGCUAACUACGUG
rnacentral:rRNA from 1 species